rnacentral:lncRNA from 1 species
CGUGCGUUGCGCUUGCGUUGGGAUUGGAGUGACUUAGCUUGGGCCGUGGCCUUGGUCCCAUGAGCCUUGGAUAGCAUGGUUCAGGUCGUGGUGGUGACACCAUGGAUCUCACCGCGGGUGGCUACCGUGGUGGCUGGUUGCCAUGGUGAAGCCUUGUGGUGGUGGUGCCGCUCCACUUAUUGUCACGUUUAGCCUCGUGGAUCACCGUGGCCCCAUCUCUUGAGCAUUGGAAUUUUCGUUCAUUGAAGUUUCUAAAUUUCUAGCCAUUGUACCUUUCUUUUACGUUUUAUCAAAGAAUUUUUUCAAACAAAAAAUUCUAAAAAUAAGAACGUACGAAAAAUCUACAAAUGGACAAGAAAAUAGAAAACCUUGGAUGAGAGAGUCUUCUACGAGUAUGGGACUCAACUCUCAAUGAAAGCAUCAAUUUGUGGAUGCAAAUUUCUUCCUCCUUGAUCUUGGACAAAAU